rnacentral:rRNA from 1 species
CCUACGGGAGGCAGCAGUGAGGAAUAUUGGUCAAUGGACGAGAGCCUGAACCAGCCAAGUAGCGUGAAGGAUGACUGCCCUACGGGUUGUAAACUUCUUUUAUAAAGGAAUAAAAUGAGGCACGUGUGCCUUUUUGUAUGUACUUUAUGACUAAGGAUCGGCUAACUCCGUGCCAGCAGCCGCGGUAAUACGGAGGAUCCGAGCGUUAUCCGGAUUUAUUGGGUUUAAAGGGAGCGUAGAUGGGUUGUUAAGUCAGUUGUGAAAGUUUGCGGCUCAACCGUAAAAUUGCAAUUGAUACUGGCAGUCUUGAGUACAGUUGAGGUAGGCGGAAUUCGUGGUGUAGCGGUGAAAUGCUUAGAUAUCACGAAGAACCCCGAUUGCGAAGGCAGCCUACUAAACUGUGACUGACAUUGAUGCUCGAAAGUGUGGGUAUCAAACAGGAUUAGAUACCCGAGUAGUC